rnacentral:rRNA from 1 species
UUCCACAGCCAUAUCACCCUGCAACCUGGUCAGUACCUGGAUGGGAGACCUCCUGGGAAAACUAGGUUGCUGUUGGAA